rnacentral:lncRNA from 1 species
UGUAGCUUAAGGAAUAAUAUGUUCAUCUAUCCGUGGUCCUACGCAACCAAUUUACUGGCUAGGCCAGGAGAAAGAGCUGUCUAGCCUUUUCCAUGUGACAAGGAAACGGUAACAAUAGAUAUGAGACCUUUCAGAAUUUUCAACAAUUCUCAAGGCUUGAAGCCUGGCUACCUUUGGGAAAAGACAUUUCUGUAGGAUGUGUCAGAUCUCGUCCUUCCGUGUUUUAAUGUUUCUGUCAAACAGUGUAGGUCAAUGUCAGUGUUCUAGGAUGCAAUAUUUAUAGGGCUCCCUUUUGCCUGGCCUUAUCUUGCUUUCAGGGAGAAAUGCACAGCCCUGUCUGCAAACAUGCUCUGUGGCCUUUUGAUUUGAUGUGUUCCAGUUUGAGUGACAGCUGGGUUUGUUAAUUAUGACUGCUAUGUAUCCUGGAGAAAAUCUAGUAAUCUUUAUCAAAUAAUUUAAAAUGAAUAGUAUAGUAACGUCUUGAAACACUUGGAAUAAGCUUGAGACUUCUAGCAGAGAAUCUGAAGAAUAACUUGAGAUCAACAAUAACUCUACAGUUAUCCACAGAUAGAUAUUAUGAUGACUGGAUUUUUUGGAUUAAUUUUUAAAAAUUCAAUAUUGAUAUAGGUGCUUGGAAACAAAAGUAGCUAAAUAUGUUAGAAGGUACUGGAACCUCGGGAUAUGUUUCAUGAGGUUGUAUGUUAGUAACCAGAUUGCAGGGGCAUAAAUCUAUUGAUGCUAUAGGAGUUUUUCUUACAAAUAUUAAUUAAACUUUCCAUUAAAAAGCAAAACGUGUA